rnacentral:misc_RNA from 1 species
GAUGAAGAACGCAGCGAAAUGCGAUAAGUAGUGUGAAUUGCAGAAUUCAGUGAAUCAUCGAAUCUUUGAACGCACAUUGCGCCUCCUGGUAUUCCGGGAGGCAUGCCUGUUCGAGCGUCAUUAAAAUCACUCAAGCUUAGGUUUACCUAUUGCUUGGUCUUGGAGAUGGAAGCCAAUUCAUUGGAAUCCUCUUCGAAAUCCAAUGGCGAAGACCCUUGCUCUCCCAAGUGUAGUGAUAACUUAUGUCACUGAAGGAAGCGAGAAAUCUUCCGCCGUAACCCCCAUAUUUUCUAUGAUUGACCUCGGAUCAGGUAGGGAUACCCGCUGAACUUAAGCAUAUCAAUAAGCGGAGGA